rnacentral:rRNA from 1 species
GACGAACGCUGGCGGCGUGGAUUAGGCAUGCAAGUCGAACGGUAGGAUACCUUCGGGUAUCUGAGAGUGGCAACGGGUGAGUAACACGUAGGUGAUCUACCCUCAAGAUUGGGACAACCCAGGGGAAACUUGGGCUAAUACCGGAUGAAAGCAGCAGUGAUGUUGUUUGAAAGGUGGCGUAAGCUGCCGUUUGGGGAUGAGCCUGCGCUCUAUUAGUUAGUUGGCGGGGUAAAGGCCCACCAAGGCGAUGAUAGAUAGGCGGCCUUAACGGGUGGUCGCCCACACUGGGAUUGAGAUACGGCCCAGACUCCUACGGGAGGCAGCAGUCGAGAAUAGUCUACAAUGGCCGAAAGGCUGAUAGUGCGACGCCGCGUGAACGAAGAAGCCCUUCGGGGUGUAAAGUUCUUUUAUAUGUGAGCAGUGCUUUCUAUGUGAACAGCAUGGGGAGAGAGAUAUUAGCAUAUGAAUAAGCAACGGCUAACUCCGUG